rnacentral:lncRNA from 1 species
UUCAAGGUCCCAUGAAAAGUCAAUAGGAUAUAAGCCAUGGCAGUACCUGGCCCUAUUUUCAAAUUCAAUGCACACCAUCUAAUUCUAAUAAUAAUCAAAUCUAAAUUAAAACGAUACAUAAUAUUUUUGUAGUUCGAGAUAGGACCAAGUUGGAGUAGUACAGAGAAAAUCAAACUUUAUCCUAGCAUUACACAGAAGAAACAUGAUUCACUUAUCAUAAUAACAGAAACAUAUGAAAUAAGGAUAGGUUCCAUCCCUACCUUGACAUCCUGAGCCGCUGCACCUCCAUCUACUCUGCCCAUGGAUGAAAAACAGAGGGCGUCUCAACUAUUCAAAGCAUAGCGUCCUUGCUACUGUAGUAAAAUUUGUAAAGUACUGGCCUGCUCACAAGCAGUUAACAUACAGUGGAAGAUAUGUCUUUCUAGGCAUGUACUCUGCAACAAAAAAUCUCUCAUCACCUUGGGAGGAACAACCAAGCAGAUUUGCUGACCUUUUGCCCCAGAGCUAACCAACUUAUUUAGCAUCUUCCUGAAGCAUAAUUAUGUCCACAAAAGGUAUGGGCAAAUAUUAGAAAAUCACUGGCAUGGUAUGGAUCAAGUUAAAAUAUGCACCGAUAUGAAACAUCUAAAAAAGGAAAAAAUGAAUUAAACCCAUUAGUUAUGCAUGCUCUUUACAGAGCAUACAUGAACUAUACAGCAAACUACACAUGAAUAUAAACCGGGGCCAUGACUUCACAAUGUACAAAAAAGUCAAUAAAAAAUGGACAACCUAUUUUCAAUCCAAUGUGUACCAGGAUUGAAGCAACUAAUGGACUGCAACGUUGUAAAAAAUAUAUAGAAACUUGGACAUCGAACGACUCUGUAACGCAAAAUCACAGGCGCAAGCGAACAAUAAAAAUUUAAACACCAUAUAUUAUUACAUCUUAAAGUUCACAUAACCAUAACAUGAAUGGCCCAUCAAUAGACAAUUAGACCGAUGAAGAAAGGUAAAUGCAUGUAGCUAGAGACAACAUAGUAGAAUUACAGUACUUUGAGAAAGAGAAGCAUGUGCGUAGCGAGAAAGAACAAGCAUGCAGGGAAUAAAGAAUCAAGCAAACCUUGAAUAGCAGCACAGAGUUGCAGAUGCAGCAACCUAGCAGAUCGUCGAACCUGCUAGACAAACGGAGAUAGACCUGUCAGACUACAUGCAUAACGGUGCACACACAUGCAUAAAAACAGCAGGCACAUUCUAAUAGACAAGCAAAACAACAGCUAAUUACCAGAGCUAGAAAGCAGAACCAUACCAAGAAAGCAGGCUAGACAAAGGACUACACCAAGGCGGACCAGCAGGGAAAAUGAGAUGAAAAAAAGAAACAUCAUCACACACACAUUUCAUCGAACACGUUGCAUGCAAGCAAAUGGAAUGCAAACUAACCUCAAUGGCAAUGGCAGAACGAUGCGACGGUGGACGCAGGAGACAACGAGAAGAAACAAACCUGCACACGUAGGGGACAAGAUGAAGAACAAAGAAGUUAGUAGGGUGCAGGUUAAAGGAAGGCAAGAAUCAAGAAUCAAGUAAAGAAGGGCACCAACCUCAACCGAUAGUGUUCAUCCAGCGCACGUAAGUUAUUGCAACAGACAAGCACACCACCGGCGAAGAAGGAUGAACAAUCCAACCGAGGAGAACCCAUAGGCAC